AACGAACGCUGGCGGCAGGCUUAACACAUGCAAGUCGAACGCGUGUAGCAAUACACGAGUGGCGCACGGGUGAGUAACGCGUGGAUAUCUGCCUUUUGGUUCGGAAUAACCCCGGGAAACUGGGGCUAAUACCGGAUGGUUCCUUCGGGAUAAAGAUUUAUCGCCAAAAGAUGAGUCCGCGUACGAUUAGCUAGUUGGUGAGGUAAUGGCUCACCAAGGCGACGAUCGUUAGCUGGCUGAGAGGACGAUCAGCCACACUGGGACUGAGACACGGCCCAGACUCCUACGGGAGGCAGCAGUGGGGAAUAUUGGACAAUGGGGGCAACCCUGAUCCAGCCAUGCCGCGUGAGUGAUGAAGGCCUUCGGUU
rnacentral:rRNA from 1 species